ensembl:lncRNA
GUUUGCUGUUUAUUUGAGCAAUAUGAGAUGGAAGGAAGUUCCAUGCAUUAAGGGCUCUAUAUAAUACUGUACGUUUUCUUGAAAGAAUAAAAAUAAAACGGAGAGGAUGCAUGUUUUGGAAUAUAUUUUUUCUUCCUUCUUUUACUCUGUCAUUUAGGUUAGUAUUGUUGAGUAACUACAAUGCUAUUGAUCAGUCCUCAGUUUUCUCCUUUCACAGCGAUUAAACUCUUGUUUUUUUUCUGGCUGGAUUGGGGACGGUGUCAGCUGGGAUGCUACCUGAAGGAGUUCAGAGUAUUAUCCCUAUGUGGCGUACCUGGGGUGUCUGAUCUGCCUCUGCCUGACCCAUCUGUGGGUGGUCGUCUCCUUCAGAAACCCAGACAGUUGCAUCCUACUCUACACAGGCUGGGAACCAAUCAUCACUGCCAUGGUCAUCAGCAGUAUCAGAGGAUACUAGAUCGGAACAUCGGAGCAUCCUGAACACAACUGUAUAAGACCCGAGCAUGGCGGGAAUGAUAGUCUACACGCCAGUUAUGAAUAGUUGUUGGGGGGAACUUGGUUGCCAACUGGUCCAGUCGUAUCACCACUGAUCUGCAGGCAGGUGCCUGAGGAUCGAAGGAGCUGCUACAACCCCUGCAGGACCUUUUGUGGCUCAGGUGCUGCUCCUGUCUAUCACCUUCUUAGCUGCAGCUUUUCUACAGGUCUUCACUCUGCUGUGUCUUGCUGACCGGAUGGUCCAUUGCCUGUGGUGGACGGGCAAGGACCCAGACAGUUACUCCAUCCCCUACCUCACCGCUCUGGGGAUCUAUUGGGCACGGCCCCCCUCGCUCUGGCCUUCUUCCUGUUCUGGCUCAUAGGGGAGCAGGUUCCCACUGGAGACUGACACCCUGGGUGCUUCAUCUUAUACUAUUCUCCUUUGAUUCUGCCUGGGUAAAAGUAGGCACGAAACGUAGCAAUGCCUUCAAAUUAUGUAGGCAACUCCACACACAGUUGAGAAAUUCUAAACAUUCCCUUUACAAGUCAAAUGUUUAAUACAUUUAUUUGAAUUUAUUCAGACGAUUGCUUUGUGGUGUUGGUCCUUCUGUUGGUUGAAAUUUGAGACAAUAUCCACAGGAGAGUGUUAUUAAUCUGACUUCAUAAUGCGGUUCUCUGCCAUUAACAAUCAAGAUUUGUUUGCUCGUGCACAUGAUGAAAGUAACCGAAGUCUGCAGGUGUUUACAUGGUUUUUCACAUGUGCCAGGUUAUAUACAUUUAAACGGCAGUACAGGCGCUCUAAAAAGUCAGAUAAACAAUACUUUUUUGUGGAGAUUUUGUCUCUUUGUUUCGACUGGCUGAAGGACCAACUGCACAGACAACUGGUAAAGUGCAAAUACUGAACAAAAAUAUAAACGCAACAUACAAUGCAAAUGUAAAAGAUUUUACUGAGUUAGUUCAUAUAAGAUAAUAAGUCAAUUUAAAUAAAUUCAUUAGGUCCUAAUUUAUGGAUUUCACGACUGGGAAUACAGAUGUUUUAUAUAUAAUAUAUAUAUAAUAUAUAUAUGACAAAAUAUAUAUGACAAAAUAUAUAUAUAUAUAUAUAAAAAAUACC